UGGUCAGUAUCUGCUUUCAGGUUGACCAGACAGCUCAAAGGGAAGAGGACAGAAAAUUGUGCAAAUGGGUUUUAAUGACACUGGAUGGACUCAGCGAUUUCAAAACUACUUUACAACGUUCCUAAGGUAAGAUGAUGAUAUUUCAUUUUGGACCAAAGCCUGCAAGUUUGGGUAGACACCUCAAGUGUGCUGCUACAAUACACUAACACUUGAUCACCUCUACUCAUUGCAGCAUAUUUGUACCAAACUUCUUGCAAAAAUCGUUCAUUUAAAGAAUAAGGUUGGUGUUACUCUGUAAUUUUCUUGAUGUCAGCUAAUCAACUUAUUAAGAAAACAGGUUUGAAUGAAACUGGAUGGAGACGUAUUCCCGACUGCUUUCCAACGUUCCUAAGGUAAGAUGAUUUUUAAUUUUGGACCAAAGCCUGCAAGUUUGGGUAGACACCUCAAGUGUGCUGCUACAAUACACUCACACUUGAUCACCUCUACUCAUCGCAGCAUAUUUGUACCAAACCUCUUGCAAAAAAAUGUCUAUUCAAAAAAAUAGGUUUUACUCUGUAUUUUUCUCGCUGUUAACUAAACUAUUAAGACAACAGGUUUUAAUGAAACUGGAUGGAGUCACAGAUUUCCAGCAACUUUCCAACGUUCCUAAGCUAAUCAACUUAUUAAGAAAACAGAUUUGAAUGAAACUGGAUGGAGAUGUAUUCCCGACUGCUUUCCAACGUUCCUAAGGUAAGAUGAUUUUUAAUGUUGGACCAAAGCCUGCAAGUUUGGGUAGACACCUCAAGUGUGCUGCUACAAUACACUCACACUUGAUCACCUCUACUCAUCGCAGCAUAUUUGUGCCAAACUUCUUGCAAAAAUCGUUGAUUUAAAGAAUAAGGUUGGUGUUACUCUGUAAUUUUCUUGAUGUCAGCUAAUCAACUUAUUAAGAAAACAGAUUUGAAUGAAACUGGAUGGAGUCACAGAUUUCCAGCAACUUUCCAACGUUCCUAAGGUAAGAUGAUUUUUAAUUUUGGACCAAAGCCUGCAAGUUUGGGUAGACACCUCAAGUGUGCUGCUACAAUACACUCACACUUGAUCACCUCUACACAUCGCAGCAUAUUUGUGCCAAACGUCUUGCAAAAAUCGUUCAUUUAAAGAAUAAGGUUGGUUUUACUCUGUAAUUUUUUUUAAGUCAGCUAAUCAACUUAUUAAGAAAACAGAUUUGAAUGAAACUGGAUGGAGUCACAGAUUUCCAGCAACUUUCCAACGUUCCUAAGGUAACCUGAUUUUUUUUAAAAAGUUUUGACCAAAGCCUGCAAGUUUGGGUAGACACCUCAAGUGUGCUGCUACAAUACACUCACACUUGAUCACCUCUACUCAUCGCAGCAUAUUUGUGCCAAACUUCUUGCAAAAAAAUGUCUAUUCAAAAAAAUAGGUUUUAUUCUGUAUUUUUCUCGCUGUUAACUAAACUAUUAAGACAACAGGUUUUAAUGAAACUGGAUGGAGUCACAGAUUUCCAGCAACUUUCCAACGUUCCUAAGGUAAGCUGAUUUUUUUAAAGUUUUGACCAAAGCCUGCAAGUUUGGCUAGACACCUCAAGUGUGCUGCUACAAUACACUCACAUUUCAUCACUUCUACUCAUCGCAGCAUAUUUGUGGCAAACUUCUUGCAAAAAUCGUUCAUUUAAAGAAUAAGGUUGGUUUUACUCUGUAAUUUUCUUGAUGUCAGCUAAUCAACUUAUUAAGAAAACAGAUUUGAAUGAAACUGGAUGGAGUCACAGAUUUCCAGCAACUUUCCAACGU